rnacentral:rRNA from 1 species
CCUACGGGAGGCAGCAGUGAGGAAUAUUGGUCAAUGGACGAGAGUCUGAACCAGCCAAGUCGCGUGAAGGAUGACUGCCCUAUGGGUUGUAAACUUCUUUUAUCAAGGAAUAAAACGAGGCACGUGUGCCUUUUUGCAUGUACUUUAUGAAUAAGGAUCGGCUAACUCCGUGCCAGCAGCCGCGGUAAUACGGAGGAUCCGAGCGUUAUCCGGAUUUAUUGGGUUUAAAGGGUGCGUAGGCGGGGAUUUACGCCGGCGGUAAAAUGUCGGGGCUCAACCCCGGCCUGCCGUGGAAACUGGGUGGCUAGAGUGGGCGAGAAGUAUGCGGAAUGCGUGGUGUAGCGGUGAAAUGCAUAGAUAUCACGCAGAACCCCGAUUGCGAAGGCAGCAUACCGGCGCCCUACUGACGCUCAGGCACGAAAGCGUGGGUAUCGAACAGGAUUAGAUACCCGGGUAGUC